rnacentral:tRNA from 1 species
GGGCCUGUAGCUCAGCGGCAGAGCGCCUGGCUCAUAACCGGGUGGUCGUAGGUUCGAAUCCUGCCAGGCCCA